GGGCCGUUAGCUCAGUUGGCAGAGCGCCUGCAUGACGCGCAGGAGGUCAGGGGUUCAAAUCCCUUACGGCCCACCA
rnacentral:tRNA from 1 species